rnacentral:tRNA from 1 species
UGGGGGAUGGUGUAACGGCAACACUCGUGGCUCUGGACCACGCUAUCGGGGUUCGAAUCCCUGUCCCCCAGCCA